ACAACAUUUGGACCGUCGCGCGUCAGUUUACCGAGCAAAUAACACCCGCUCUGUGGAAGAUCUUCCCUUUGUCGU
rnacentral:pre_miRNA from 1 species